CGAUUCUCCUGCCUCAGCCUCCUGAGUAGAUGGGAUUACAGGCUGGGAACUGCUUGAGGGAAGGGUCCAAGCCUUGUUCAUCUCUGAGCCCCCGUGUUAUCUCCUGAGCACCUGGGUCGUACACUAGCAUGGUCUCAAGAUACAUGUGCUGAACUGCUAAGCCAAUUCAUUUACUUUACAGAUGAAAAAUAAGAAAUAGACAGAAGCUUAAGAACACAGACACUGUACCCAGAAAGAUGGUAGCGGUGUCGGAAUGAGAAUCCAGCGUCUUGUGUCCCAGUUAAGGUCCUUUUCCCCUAGUAUGCUGCCUCUGGCUGUGGUAAAUUCCAGAAUAUAAUUUGUAAAUUUUCCUAUCCACUGUCCCAUCCCACUUCCUAAAGUCACAUGCAAAAUAAAGUGGCAGGUUAGAGUCUGAA